rnacentral:rRNA from 1 species
GCUCAGUGGCGGACGGGUGCGUAACACGUGAGGAACAUGCCCAUCGGUGGGGGACAGCCGGCCCAACGGCCGGGUAAUACCGCGUACGACGGCGGUGCCGCAUGGCGCUGCCGUGAAAGCAGCAAUGCGCCGAUGGAGUGCCUCGCGGCCUAUCAGCUAGUUGGUGAGGUAACGGCUCACCAAGGCGACGACGGGUAGCUGGUCUGAGAGGAUGGCCAGCCACAUUGGGACUGAGACACGGCCCAGACUCCUACGGGAGGCAGCAGUGGGGAAUAUUGCGCAAUGGCCGAAAGGCUGACGCAGCGACGCCGCGUGUGGGAUGAAGGUCUUCGGAUUGUAAACCACUGUCGGGAGGGACGAAGCUCUGACGGUACCUCCAAAGGAAGCACCGGCUAACUCUGUGCCAGCAGCCGCGGUAAUACAGAGGGUGCGAGCGUUGUCCGGAAUCACUGGGCGUAAAGGGCGCGUAGGUGGCCAGGUAAGUAGGGGGUGAAAUGCUGCGGCUCAACCGCAGCGCUGCCUCCUAGACUGUCUGGCUGGAGCACAGUAGAGGCAGGUGGAAUUCCCGGUGUAGCGGUGGAAUGCGUAGAGAUCGGGAAGAACACCAGUGGCGAAGGCGGCCUGCUGGGCUGUUGCUGACGCUG